UUGGAAUUUCGUGAAGAAGGCUUUAAUUUAAAAAAUGUCACUUUAAUUUUAUUCCACAUUGGGCUUUAUCAGCAUUCAGUGUUCUCUGAUAUUAUUUUAGCAUGGUCUGUGUCAGAAUCUCUUGCCUCACUCUCACAGUGGAGCAUCUCUGACUUACAGCCAUCCCACAUGCUGUGUCCAUAAUGAAGGGCUGGGUGCUCAGGGACUGCUCGGCUUAGCCAAAUAAAUUGGAACGAGAGCACUAUCUGCUUGGAAGAACAAUUGCAUAAUUAUCACAGAAGAGAUUUCUUUGAACUUUCCCACAUGAAUCUUUACAAAGAGGUUGCCAUGAUUCAUCAAGACAUCAAAGAAAAUGCCAGAUCCCAACAUUCUUGAAAAGACUCUUGGAAUUUAGUUUAUUGAUUGUUUAACAUCCUUACUUUUUUGAUGUGUAAGUGAUGUGGGUGUAAGAGUGGAUAGAUUAACCAAUUUCAGUAGGUUUUAACAUUAGAUUUAAAUAGCAUUCAUUUUUUUGAAUAUAUGAAGAUUACUAGGCAACCCCUGCACUGACUAAAUUGAAGAUGGACUGUGCAUAGAUCUACCUCUGAUUUGCAAGCUCACAAGAUGCCAUAAUAAUUUUCCAACACACACUGGGUUGAAUUCUUGGUAAAAGCAGCAUCCUGUUAAAGAUCUGUUUGACAAAUUAGCUCCAAAACUAGUUUUAUAGUGACAAUGCAUAUUCACAUGUGUUUGCUGCACAAGACAACAAAGGCUGCACUUUUGUUUUAAAAAUUUAAACUUUCAUUGUCUUGGGAGUUGAUGCAAGUCUUGGCAAGUUUUCUUACACCCAGUCCUGAUCCAGAAUUGUACAGCAGCACUAGAUCAUCGCUGCCUAUGUGAAACAUGCCCACCCUUUAGCUUCAGUUCUUUAAAAACUGUUUGGCCAAAUAAAGCCAAACUUGGUAGGUAUCAUUUUAAUAACAACAUAGUGAAAUAUCCCAGGAUUAGUGCCUUAUCACCAUUGUCUUCUUUUCCUGAUACACAUCCCUUAUAACAAAAAACAUCUGUACAAAAACUGUUUGGUCAAUUAACUACAAAAAUGUGUCAGUUAAGUAGUGACAAUAUGUAAUUACCAUACAUAGUCAUAGGCAUACAGUAUGUAGAAAAGGAGCUCCUGCUGAGACCAAGACGGAUACCUGACUGUGAUGAUGGAGUCCUGUGAUAUAAGCAACUGCUAGACUUCAAAUUAAGUCAACUGAUCAACUUCAAAUAAAAUAUGGCAGGUUUCAUUACAUUAAAACUAAAAACAUUUUUACAAAAGCAGAACUAUGAUUCAGAGAUUUUGCAAACUCCAUAUUUAUUGUAUAUUAUUUGUCAUUAAUUUGUUAAAAAUAAGACUUCUUGAGUAUAUGAAAAAAAAUGUCCAUAAAAAGUUCACCAACAACUCUGAACACUUACUUAUCCACAAAAGAUCAAACAACAACAGAAUUACACUUCGUUUCUCUUGAAAAUGAAUGAUCUUCUCUUGCACAAGGCAAAAUAUUUUACUUCUAACAACUUCACCCUUGUCAGUACUCCUCGAGAUGAAAAGCAAAAGUUAAAAGAUCAGGAUCCAGAGAUGUUGCAGGGUUGAUUAAGGCCUUAGGAGUUCUAUAAUUUUAGAACAAAUCAUAAAUAUAAAAAGCAAUUUAACUGAGAAUUAGUCAAUUCAAAAUAUGAAAGAAUGGGAUUAAAUGAAAAAAGCAAAAUUAAAAUAUUCAAAAUUGAAUCAAGCUAUGUGAAACUCAGGGUUUGACUUGAAAAUUAUUAUAAAAUACUAUAUUUUCAUUUUCUUUAAUGAGUCUCUUAAAAAAAACCUUCCAGGAUAGUGCAUGCAUUAUUGAUCACAAAACUUGCUAAUUGCUGCUGAUAGUUAUUUAUUCCCUAUGCUUACGUUUAAUUAGUAAUACAUUAAAGGUUAUUGUGGUUUCUUUCUAAGUAGAUCAGAUAAAAUGUGAAGUUAAACAAGUUUAUCCUUCCCUUUAAAUCUACAGAAGACUGGGGUCAAUAAUGUUACCUGUGGGCAGAUUUCUCUUGAAAAUUGCCCUUUUUAUUUUUGAAAACUCUCCCGAUACUCCUGAUAUUUAUUGGUGUGAUUUACUAGUAAAUGUGGUAUAACCGCUGAGAAAGGGCCAGAGAGUCAGAACCAAGAGGUCUCAGGAUAUUGCCUUUCGUCUGCAGGAAGACAGGCGUUUAAUUGCAGUUGAGCCUCCCCUUGUGAACAGUGUGUCUCACACACAGUAGAGCAGAGCUCUAGAGUGUGGUUGGUUUGCAGGUAUGUGCAUAGAAUUCCAUUUAACUCAGAUUUUUUCUAAUGCAUGUGGCUUUAUGUACACAGACAUCUGACUUAAGUAAAUAAAAACUGAAAUGGGUCUUAUUUGGGAACCACACACAACACUGAAAUGCUGAAUUACUGUAUACUUUGUAUGAGACUUACCAAUUGUCUAGUUACCGAACAAUAUAAUGAGCACAGUGGCCUUGUCUUCUAACAUAGUAGUGUCAUCUAUCCUUACAUUCUUAUAAAAGUUAAAAUUAGUGGUCUAAAGGUAGGUGUUCAGAUAAAGAUACUCUUUGCACAGGCUCUCAUCUGGGGUCUCACAUACAGUAUGUGUCAUACUGUGGGGAAAACACCUUGUGGUUCUCAUGGAUGCCUUACCUAUCUGGGCAGUGUUUGAAGCAUAUUGUGCAGGUUACAUUCCUCUUUUCUAUUACCUGUCUAGUUGUGUCUUCGAUCCACAUGAAUUAGGCAAGGGAUAAUGGAGAUGUAUGAUGCAAAGUACCGAAUGCAGUCCCACUGAGCAGCUGUGGACUCCGUUCAAAGACCAUUAUGAGCUCCCUGUACAGUAAGUGGUACUGUAUGGCUGACUCUGGACAGAGGUCUCCUUCCCUUCAUACAGGAUGUUAAAAUUAGCAGCUGUGUUUACCAUAUUAAAUUAUCUACUGUAACGUGUCUGUUUACCUGAAUCUUUCAUGUUAAGGUAAUUUUUAAACGUUUUAUGUGUAUACAUUUCCUUCUGACCAAUUUUGACCAAAAUAUUCUGAAACAAAUUAUAUUUAAUUAUUAUGAUGUAAUAUGGCAGUAACUGACUUUGUAAUACUUAUUGGAUUUUAAUAACUGUAACAGUUACAGUAGAUAAUUUAAUUUAGUGUAUUCUAUCACUACCUAAGCCCCUUGCUUCAUCAUGACAAGUUCUUGCUCUUUUGAACUAAGACCCACAAGACAUGUUACUUGUUGAUCUGUUACCUGUUGAGAGCUUGCAAAGGAAACAGACCUAUGUGUACAUAGCCAACCAAAAAUGACAAUUUGAAUAUUUCCAAAUACAACUUAAAGCAUACACUACUGACCAUUGAUUUCUAUUAGGACAAGUUCUAUAAAUUAAUAUAUUAGUCAUGUCUCCCACCUAGCAACACAGUAGAUCUUUCAGUAGAUUUUCAAUCUGACAUCUCAAGAAUGUGACAUUUUAGAGUUCAUGAUUGCUGAAUUAUUCAUUGCU